rnacentral:rRNA from 1 species
CCUACGGGUGGCAGCAGUGGGGAAUAUUGCACAAUGGGGGAAACCCUGAUGCAGCGACGCCGCGUGAGUGAAGAAGUAUUUCGGUAUGUAAAGCUCUAUCAGCAGGGAAGAAAAUGACGGUACCUGAUUAUUACGCCCCGGCUAACUACGUGCCAGCAGCCGCGGUAAUACGUAGGGGGCAAGCGGUAUCCGGAUUUACUGGGUGGAAAGGGGGCGUAGACGGCAGCACAAGUCUGGAGUGAAAUGCGGGGGCUUAACCCCGGAACUGCUUUGGAAACUGUGCAGCUAGAGUGCAGGAGAGGUAAGUGGAAUGCCUAGUGUAGCGGUGAAAUGCGUAGAUAUUAGGAGGAACACCAGUGGCGAAGGCGGCUUACUGGACUGUAACUGACGUUGAGGCUCGAAAGCGUGGGGAGCAAACAGGAUUAGAUACCCGUGUAGUC